rnacentral:rRNA from 1 species
CACCGUCCUCGUCGCAGCCGUCCGCCCUCGUCCCCGCCGGCCACCAUCCCAGUCACCAGCCCCAACCACCGCCGUCCGUCCUUGUUGCUUUACCCCGUGCAACAGCCGCACCCCGCGGUUGAAGCUCUUGUUAAGACCAUUGUAGCUCCGGUUGCGACGACUAAAGCUCGCCGGCAUGCUCGCCGCUGCUCAUCCCCGGUGUGCAGCUUGCAACAAAAAAUCGAGCACCGGGGGAGAUGCCCAGUGCUACAACCAACGACGCAAAAAGCUACAACUAGCGAUAGGAAAAGCUUCAACCGGCUACGAAAAAAGCUUCAACCAGUAUACGACUGGAGGUAUGGAUGACCAAGAAAAGUUACAACCUGUGACCAAAAAGCUUCAUCUAGCGACGAAAAAAGCUUCAUCCGACUAUAAAAAAAAGUUUCGAUCGUGGAAACGAAGCCAUGGACGAAAAAGAAAAGUUGCAACCGACAUUUAUAAAAGUUACAACCGCAUUGAAAAAAGCUUCAAGCUUCUUAUCUCAGCUGCGACCCGCGAUGGCGAUGACGCCGUUUUGCUGCAACCGUAGUAGAUUUUUGCUACCACCGGUGAUUGAAUUUGCUACAACCAAUAUUCCACAGCUGAUGCUGCUGCUCCACCAAGCUCCCAGACCCGCCCAUGGUCAUGGUCGUCACGGCGCUGUGGGAGGUGAGAAAAGGAAGGUGGACGCGCGGCCAUGCGAGGAGCGCCCCUUGGCUUCACACCUUGCAGCGUUAGUGGCCGCACCCCCCUACAGCAUGCGGCCGCGUAGCUUGGUUACGGUGAUUGUGCGGGCCUGUGUGGAGAUUUCGAUCUAAGGGAGAGGAAGAAGAAAACAUGUGGUUCGGGCUCCCUGAAG